GGCGGCAUAGCUCAGUUGGUUAGAGCAGCGGAAUCAUAAUCCGGAGGUCGUUGGUUCAAGUCCGACUGCCGCUA
rnacentral:tRNA from 1 species